UACGGGGGGGGGCAAGCGUUGUUCGGAAUUACUGGGCGUAAAGGGCUCGUAGGCGGCCAACUAAGUCGGACGUGAAAUCCCCAGGCUCAACCUGGGAACUGCGUCCGAUACUGGAUGGCUUGAAUCCGGGAGAGGGAUGCAGAAUUCCAGGUGUAGCGGUGAAAAUGCGUAGAUAUCUGGAGGAAUACCGGUGGCGAAGGCGGCAUCCUGGACCGGCAUUGACGCUGAGGAGCGAAAAGCUAGGGGGAGCAAACGGG
rnacentral:rRNA from 1 species